CAGUUGGCUGUCCUGAGUUUUCGAGUCCCUUGGAAGGAUUCUGGGGAGUUGGCCGAUUGGCUGCAGACCCGAGCUCAUCUGACGAUGUGAACAGCCUCCUGAGACCUACAGGAAUGUGAUGACAUCAGUCGUUGUCCCCCUAGCUGGUCCACUUUAGCUCAUGGUAUCCUCUGACGACUUCCCUGGAAGGAGACGCUCCCUUACAGAUGGGGAAGCUGGGCCUUUUGGCUGAAGUCAUUGAUUCCUGAGGUCACACAGUUGUAGGUGAGCUGGGAUUACUCAGUGGCCUGGCCGGGUGUGGGCACCUGUGGAUCCUGGUGGGGGUGUGGGCUGCUCAGCGCUGGGUGACCACAGCGGGACUGAUGUGCAAGGCCAGGGUACUGUGGGUUCUUACCCGUCGGGCCUCCCUCCACAUUUGGGUUUGCAGGGGUCCUGACUCCUAACUCCGGGCGUGUCCACGUGAGGGGGGAAGAUCACUAAACUCUGUCAACAUGAUGGGGAUUUUUAAGAACAUCCUUGCUCAGGCCUGGGGUUGCUAUGUUUCUGUGUUCUUGGCUCACUGUGUUUUCCUGGAAAAAUAAAUAAAAAACACUGGCCAAUAGGUUUAUUGCCAUAUAUCAUUCGUGACAAAGAUGGUUAUCUUUCUUAGUUACUAAUCACCUUGGGAUUUCUAAUGUUUAUUUAUUUUUGAGAGAGAUAGAGCAUGAGUGGGGGAGGGGCAGAGAGAGAGGGAGACACGGAAUCUGAAACAGGCUCCAGGCUCCGAGCUGUCAGCACAGAGCCUGACGCGGGGCUCGAACCCACAACCUGUGAGAUCGUGACCUGAGCCGAAGUCGGACACUUAACCGACGGAGCCCCCCAGGUGCCCCAGUCAUCUUGGGGUUUCUAGAUGUGCUCACGUUUGGGCCCCAAGACGUGGUGUUGUCAGGGGCUCUCUCUUCAGGAGAAAGGCCACGGGGUCCAUAAACCCUGAGACCGGGUUGGGGGCCCUGGGGGAGGCUGGAGAGGAGUGAGGACUUGAGGAGCAGCCGUGAGAUUAGUUUUUCUUUUCCUCUGCACCCGGAACAGGGCAGAAGGUGUCAGGACAGACACGGGUGGCGGCCCCCCUGUUCCGGGUGCUCACUGUUGAGCCCGUUUGACCUGCUGACCUCGUGUUACACACGAGGAAAUGGAAGUCCUCCAAGGCGAAACAACACCCAGGCGCCAGCCCGGAAGGCAGCCACGCUCUCCGGAAUCCAGAGCCUGCCCCGCUCUUCUUCUCCUACUGACCACAGAUCCACCGAUGGAGGAGGGAGACACUCUCUGAGGACAGCCCCGCUCCAGUGACGUAAAUUCCUGCCUAGUAUUCGGGCUUCCUUUUGCUGGAAUUACGAGAAACUCGUGACACCUGUAAGGGGCUGCCUGGUACCUUUCCUGCGACAGUUUCCAGCAGGGAUGGGACAGGGAAGGAAAGGAGAUCGCCAUCUGUGGGUCUCCAUCAGACGUGGACCCUGGCCUAGGUACCCACGCACCAGCUAACAAUUGGCUUUGACCUCAGAUCUGGGCUGUCUUGUGGCACUAAGUCGCAGACUUGCCAGCUGGCUUAUACGAUGGCCGGUCAACUGUGUAUAAUCCCACAGAUGUGGACCCAGCAGAACCACCCGGCUACGGCUUGUCGCUGAGCGCACAACUGGGCUUGGACAGAGUCAGUUUAGAUGACAGCUGUGUGAAAGAUCACAUAGCAGUUUGCACAUGGGCAGUGGGCAAAUUCUCACAGUCCAGGGGCUGGGCUAGCUGUGCAGGCUCAGACAACAAAUCGCAAAUCCCUCUCUCUGGGGUAGACUCACAUUAACCACGCUCAUGGCACUGAUGUCUAUGCUGGAUGUCAGUUUGUUAUUUUACAAUGAGAACUCCAUCUGUCGAAGGGUCUAGAGGGCUGAGUCCUCGGCUUACCCUAUUCUGUGCGGAGAAAUCUACCUGGCAAACGGUUGAUCUUAAUCCAACGGUUGCCUGGUGACUGUGGGAUCAGAGCCAGGGAGCACGUUAGCAGAUUUGAAUGCUUAGUGACAUUAGGUUUCCAUGCAUUUCUUCCCCCGAUGUGUUGUGAGAGGCGCUUGCCAUCGGGACUGGAGAAUUAAAGCCCAUUCCUCAGACAGACCUGUUUCUCUUCUGGCUCCCUGUUGUUCUGGGUUUCUGUGGCUGAAAGCUUCUCUGCUCUAAAGAAUCAUUUUCUUUCGUUAUGAGACUUGUUUCACAGGCUGUCUUGACUUUCUCACUAUUUCACUUACAUCGUGGCUGUUCUGAUCUCCAGGCUAAUGGUGUUUCCUGUAAAAUUGCCUGAGUUUCUCAGCACACUGUAAAAAAUGACUUCUGGGGUUUCACUGGGGUUACGUCUGCCAUUGGUAGUUCUUUGUUUUGGGGGGAUUGGUUCUUAGUUCCUCUUUUCUGACCUUGCUUGUCGCUGCUCAGCCUGUAGGAAGGCCUACAAAAGGCUUGAGUGGGAAAUGUGCCUGCCCCUGUACAGGGCUGUGACACCAGCGUGAGCAGUUGUAAGGGCAGAUGCAGCUUUAUCGGGCUUAUUCUUUUUAGGCUCCUGUUUAAGAUGAAAGUACAAAAUGUAAAAUGUAGUAUUAGGCACAAAAAAUAACUACUUUUUGUUUUACAUUUAUUUUUUGGAGAAAGAGAGAGCAAGCAGGGGAGGGGCAGAGAGAGAGAGGGAGAGAGAGAAUCCCAGCAGGCUUCACUCUGUCAGCACAGAACCCAACGUGGGGCUCAAUCUCAUGACCACAAGGUCAUGACCUGAGCCAACAGCAAGAAGCAGAUGCUUAACUGACUGAGCCACUGAGGCACCCUCAAAACGACUACUUAUUUAAAAAGGACCUGGGGGGUGGGAGGGAGGGGAGGGUGGGUGAUGGGUAUUGAGGAGGGCACCUUUUGGGAUGAGCACUGGGUGUUGUAUGGAAACCAAUUUGACAAUAAAUUUCAUAUAUUGAAAAAAUAAAAAUAAAAA
rnacentral:lncRNA from 1 species